UACGGGGGGAGCAAGCGUUGUUCGGAUUUACUGGGCGUAAAGGGCGCGUAGGCGGUCAGCACAAGUCAGUUGUGAAAUCUCCGGGCUUAACCCGGAAAGGUCAACUGAUACUGUGCGACUAGAGUACGGGAGAGGCAAGCGGAAUUCCAGGUGUAGCGGUGAAAUGCGCAGAUAUCAGGAGGAACACCGGUGGCGAAGGCGGAUCUCUGGGCCUUGCCUGACGCUGAGGCGCGAAAGCUAGGGGAGCGAACAGG
rnacentral:rRNA from 1 species